GCCUACAGCCAUCCUCCUUGGGCAGGGAUCCCAUCAGAUUUUACAAGCCAGGCAAGGUCAGGCCUGGUGAAAACGUGAUGUGAGUGCCCAGAACAACAAAGGCAGCAGGCA
rnacentral:rRNA from 1 species